rnacentral:sRNA from 1 species
AAAAUAUGCGGUCAUGAUCUUGCUCUGGAGAACUAUUGAGCCUGCGGUAAUGGCGUAAUGCAAUUGUUCCU